CCUACGGGUGGCAGCAGUGAGGAAUAUUGGUCAAUGGGCGCGAGCCUGAACCAGCCAAGUAGCGUGAAGGAUGACUGCCCUACGGGUUGUAAACUUCUUUUAUAAAGGAAUAAAGUGAGGCACGUGUGCCUUUUUGUAUGUACUUUAUGAAUAAGGAUCGGCUAACUCCGUGCCAGCAGCCGCGGUAAUACGGAGGAUCCGAGCGUUAUCCGGAUUUAUUGGGUUUAAAGGGAGCGUAGAUGGGUUGUUAAGUCAGUUGUGAAAGUUUGCGGCUCAACCGUAAAAUUGCAAUUGAUACUGGCGGUCUUGAGUACAGUUGAGGUAGGCGGAAUUCGUGGUGUAGCGGUGAAAUGCUUAGAUAUCACGAAGAACCCCGAUUGCGAAGGCAGCUUACUAAGCUGUGACUGACAUUGAUGCUCGAAAGUGUGGGUAUCAAACAGGAUUAGAUACCCGUGUAGUC
rnacentral:rRNA from 1 species